GAUGAACGCUGGCGGCGUGCCUAAUACAUGCAAGUCGAGCGAACGGACGAGAAGCUUGCUUCACUGAUGUUAGCGGCGGACGGGUGAGUCACACGUGGAUAACCUAUCUCUUUGACUUGGCUAACUUCGAGUAACCGUAGUAAAUACCGGAUGCUCUUUUUGCCCGGUUGGUUCAAAAGUGUUACAGGGUCUUGCUAUCCAUUCUCGAUGUAUCCGCGCGUCAUUGGCGUGUUGGUUAGGUAAGGGCUUACCAAGGCAACGAUGCAUAGCCGACCUGAGAGGGUGAUCGGCCACACUGGGACUGAGACACGGUCCAGACUCCUACGGGAGGCAGCAGUAGGGAAUCUUCCGCAAUGGGCGAAAGCCUGACGGAGCAACGCCGCGUGAGUGAUGAAGGUCUUCGGAUCGUAAAACUCUGUUAUUAGGGAAGAACAUAUGUGUAAGUAACGGUGCACAUCUUGACGGUACCUAAUCAGAAAGCCACGGCUAACUACGUG
rnacentral:rRNA from 1 species